GGUGAACGUUGGCGGUGCGUCUAAUACAUGCAAGUCGAGCGAGGCUUCGAGCCGAGCGGCAGACGGCUGAGUAACACGUUGGUAACUACCUCAAACUCAGGGAUAACUCCGAGAAAUCGGUGCUAAUACCGGAUGGUCCCGUAAGGGUAAAGUUUUUACGGUUUGAGAGGUGCCUGCGUCCUAUCAGGUAGUUGGUGAGGUAACGGCUCACCAAGCCUAUGACGGGUAACUGGUCUGAGAGGAUGACCAGUCAGAGGGAAACUGAGACACGGUUCCCACUUCUACGGAAGGCAGCAGUAAAGAAUCUUCCACAAUGGACGAAAGUCUGAUGGAGCGACACCGCGUGCAGGAUGAAGGCCCUUGGGUCGUAAACUGCUUUUUUGGGGGAAAAAUUCUGAUUGUACCCUAAGAAUAAGCACCGGCAAAUCACGUG
rnacentral:rRNA from 1 species